rnacentral:rRNA from 1 species
GAGUUUGAUCCUGGCUCAGGACGAACGCUGGCGGCGUGCCUAACACAUGCAAGUCGAACGAAGUAUGUUUUUCGGAAUAUACUUAGUGGCGGACGGGUGAGUAACGCGUGAACAAUCUGCCCUAUACAAAGGAAUAGCCUCGGGAAACUGGGAUUAAAACCGUAUAACACUUACACAUCGCAUGGUGAGUAAGUCAAAUUGAUUAAGAGGUAUAGGAUGAGUUCGCGUCUGAUUAGCUAGUUGGUGAGGUAAUGGCUCACCAAGGCGACGAUCAGUAGCCGGCCUGAGAGGGUGAACGGCCACACUGGAACUGAGACACGGUCCAGACUCCUACGGGAGGCAGCAGUGGGGAAUAUUGCACAAUGGGCGAAAGCCUGAUGCAGCGACGCCGCGUGAGUGAAGAAGGCCUUCGGGUCGUAAAACUCUGUCCUUGGUGAAGAAAAAAAUGACGGUAGCCAAGGAGGAAGCCCCGGCUAACUACGUGCCAGCAGCCGCGGUAAUACGUAGGGGGCGAGCGUUGUCCGGAUUUACUGGGCGUAAAGGGUGAGUAGGCGGUUGUAUAAGUCAGAUGUAAAAGGCACAGGCUUAACUUGUGUAAGCAUUUGAAACUGUACAACUUGAGUGCAGGAGAGGUAAGUGGAAUUCCUAGUGUAGCGGUGAAAUGCGUAGAUAUUAGGAGGAACACCAGUGGCGAAGGCGACUUACUGGACUGUAACUGACGCUGAGUCACGAAAGCGUGGGUAGCAAACAGGAUUAGAUACCCUGGUAGUCCACGCCGUANACGAUGAAUAC